rnacentral:rRNA from 1 species
CAUAGACAGCUAGGAGGUUGGCUUAGAAGCAGCCAUCCUUUUAAAGAAAGCGUAAUAGCUCACUAGUCGAGUCGUCCUGCGCGGAAGAUGUAACGGGGCUCAAACUGUGCACCGAAGCUGCGGAUAUCGAAAGAUAUGGUAGGGGAGCGUUCUGUAGGUCUGUGAAGGUGUCUCGUAAGGGAUGCUGGAGAUAUCAGAAGUGCGAAUGCUGACAUGAGUAGCGAUAAAGGGCGUGAAAAGCGCCCUCGCCGAAAGCCCAAGGUUUCCUACGCAACGUUCAUCGGCGUAGGGUGAGUCGGCCCCUAAGGCGAGGCUGAAAAGCGUAGUCGAUGGGAAACAGGUCAAUAUUCCUGUACCUUGUACAAGUGCGAUGUGGGGACGGAGAAGGUUAGGUCAGCCGGGUGUUGGACGUCCCGGUUUAAGCGUGUAGGCGUGCCCCUUAGGCAAAUCCGGGGGGCUGAGCUGAGGCGUGAUGACGAGGAACCACGGUUCCGAAGUGAUUGAUACCAAGCUUCCAGG